GACUCUCUGCUGAGUUUGCCAGUUGAUAACGUCCUCGAGCCUAUAAGUUUUACCCCGGGGACUGCAUUGAAAUAAUAGUGUGCAAGUCCGCUCGACCGGAAAGCCUUAAUUGUUUCAGAAGUCCCCACCUUGAACCUUCGGUUCAAGGCCAGCAUCAACAGCGGCCUAGCGGAGAGUUC
rnacentral:other from 1 species